rnacentral:rRNA from 1 species
UGGGGAAUUUUGGACAAUGGACGCAAGUCUGAUCCAGCCAUGCCGCGUGCGGGAAGAAGGCCUUCGGGUUGUAAACCGCUUUUGUCAGGGAAGAAACGAGUUUCUCUAAUACAGAGACUUAAUGACGGUACCUGAAGAAUAAGCACCGGCUAACUACGUGCCAGCAGCCGCGGUAAUACGUAGGGUGCGAGCGUUAAUCGGAAUUACUGGGCGUAAAGCGUGCGCAGGCGGUGAUGUAAGACAGAUGUGAAAUCCCCGGGCUCAACCUGGGACCUGCAUUUGUGACUGCAUCGCUGGAGUGCGGCAGAGGGGGAUGGAAUUCCGCGUGUAGCAGUGAAAUGCGUAGAUAUGCGGAGGAACACCGAUGGCGAAGGCAAUCCCCUGGACCUGUACUGACGCUCAUGCACGAAAGCGUGAGGAGCAAACA